rnacentral:rRNA from 1 species
AUUGAACGCUGGCGGCAUGCCUUACACAUGCAAGUCGAACGGUAACGCGGGGCAACCUGGCGACGAGUGGCGAACGGGUGAGUAAUGCAUCGGAACGUGCCCGGUAGUGGGGGAUAACUGCUCGAAAGAGCAGCUAAUACCGCAUACGACCUGAGGGUGAAAGGGGGGGAUCGCAAGACCUCUCGCUAUCGGAGCGGCCGAUGUCGGAUUAGCUAGUUGGUGGGGUAAAGGCCUACCAAGGCGACGAUCCGUAGCUGGUCUGAGAGGACGACCAGCCACACUGGGACUGAGACACGGCCCAGACUCCUACGGGAGGCAGCAGUGGGGAAUUUUGGACAAUGGACGCAAGUCUGAUCCAGCCAUGCCGCGUGCGGGAAGAAGGCCUUCGGGUUGUAAACCGCUUUUGUCAGGGAAGAAAUCUUCUGAGUUAAUACCUCGGGAGGAUGACGGUACUUGAAGAAUAAGCACCGGCUAACUACGUGCCAGCCGCCGCGGUAAUAC